AGCGUAGGCGGAUUUUUAAGUGAGAUGUGAAAUACUCGGGCUUAACCUGAGUGCUGCAUUUCAAACUGGAAGUCUAGAGUGCAGGAGAGGAGAAGGGAAUCCCUAGUGUAGCGGUGAAAUGCGUAGAGAUUAGGAAGAACACCAGUGGCGAAGGCGCUUCUCUGGACUGUAACUGACGCUGAGGCUCGAAAGCGUGGGAGCAAACA
rnacentral:rRNA from 1 species